ACAGCCUUCAACCUUUCUUGGUUUCUCGAUCAAGAAAGGCUUGGACUUUGGAGGUUUUAAUUGCUGGCCUCCCUCGAAGCCAGCUCCUCCUAAAUGGAUUAGUGGGGUCUGCAACCUUGACGUGAUAAGAUGUUUCUACGUCUUUGGUUUUGCACUGUUGCCCUGCUUCUAAUCGUCUUGCAUUCAGGACAGAGUCAUGAA
rnacentral:misc_RNA from 1 species